AUGAAUAAGUGCAAUACUUCUGCCAUGAAACUUGAAAAAUGGCCAUACAAGAUAAUGCCAAUUCCUAGAAAGAGAUUGGAUAUUGGGGUAGCUAUAAGUGGACAUUGGUUACAAAUUUGGGCCAUGAAUGAAAAAUUUCAGGUGACACAUUCUGAUAACAAACAACAAUUCAUUGUUUAUAUAGUCAAAAGAUCCUGCACUUGUAAUUUAUGGGAGUUAGUAGGGAUUCCAUGUAGGCAUGUUGUUGCAGCGCUAGGUGUGUGGAAAUGGAAUCUGUGUUUUAUAAGGGAGGAAUCUAAAAAAAAAAUUAAUAGGGAGGAAAAACAAAACUCGUCCUAA